CAAGAAGCAAGGGAGAGCUCGUGAAUCAAACGCAGCAGAUUUCUCUACAAAUUUAAGCAUUCGUGAUCAGUUCAUCAAGCUUCAAGAUUCAAUAACAAGAUCAAGACUUCAAGAUUCAAGAACAAGCUCAAAGGCCCUUAAAUUCAAGUACAAGUCGAGAUCAAUUUCAUCAAAUCCGCAAAUCAAUAUUCAAGAUCCAAACUGAAAUAUUCAAGAACAAGCUACAAAGUCCUUGGAUUCAAACACAAGUCAAGAUCAAAUCCAUCAAGUUCACCAAUCAAGUUUAAAUUCAAGAUCAAGCUCGAAGUCUUUGAAUUUAUAGUUGAAAAGGCAAAUCAAAGAAUUCAUAGAGAUUGUAACACUCACAUUGAAAUCAAUAAAUCGAUUGUUGUAGUAUUUUUCUGGUCUUGAUAAUUAUUUUAGGUCUCAAGAAUUUUAUUUUCCAUCAACUGUAUCAAUAUAUAUAUAGUUAAAACGAAAGGUUUAGCCUAAAAUUUUUGAAGAUGAUUAUAACUUUUUAAAAUUAUCCCACCU
rnacentral:lncRNA from 1 species